UUUCACUGACUUCGGACUAUCCUUUAAGUAAACAAAGCACAGAGUAAACUGGAUACGAUAUAUAUAUCCACCUUUGCAACUACAAUUAUCUCCGGAAAAUACCCACAUGGAUUCUUUACAUGGAUGUUUACUGUUGGAAUGGAACUAAACUCCAAUUAAAAGAAGCGAAUGCACCUCCGCAAAUAGAUGUCCGGAAUUUCGGAUGGAAUACUGUUUAUAUUGACGUGGGAAUACGAAAAACUACAAACAGUGUGCAUACACAGAAUUCAAGUAAUUUGAAGCAGAAAGAAUUUUUCAAAAUCUUUAAAGCCUAAUUGGGGGAAAAGGAAAGAUGUUCAGGAGUACAGCUGAUAUUACUCCCAGCCUAAUAUUCCUUUCUUGUUAAGGAUGAACCAAAUCAACAAGAGAAGAAAUAAAGACGAAAGAAAACACGAAUAUAAAGAGGAAAAAACUGAUGAAAAAAAAACGAAUAAAAAUAAAUUAACGAAGUCUUUAAAAAGAAAACGAAAUGUUUUUAAAAUGAAUAUAAAAACCCAUUUGUUUGAUGUGUUUCAGAGAAAGAAAAAAAAAGGAAUAAUUCAGUAGAGAGAGCAAAUC